ensembl:lncRNA
CAACUCGAACCCGAAGACUCGAGAGCUGCAGUAAUCAUUUCUGUUUCCUCGGUCAACACAAAACGAACAAAUCACUCAGACAACUCGUUGUUCCCGAGUCAUAUUAAAGAUUCGCUCAAACGAAUCGUUCAUGAAGGACACAUUACUAGUGCAUUUCUGCCUUACUCACUGCUGUUGUGGAUGGUUCCACAUGAUCUCACUGGAUGCUGUAGACUAACAACUGCUGCUGUGAUCAUAAAGUCUCAUCGUGCUGAUACUGAACAUCCAUUUCAGUGCACGUAACACUGAGUGUACAGUAAUGUAACAAAUGUGGAAGAGUGAUCAUUUAUAAUCCCACUAUAAAGUGUCACCCAGAACAGGGUAUCAUUUUGAGUCCUCUCAGGGUGUUUGUCCUGUCACCUCAGGAUUGCUCAUUAAAGUCCCCAUGAAAUGAAAAUAGUUCUAAAUUUUGUGUCUUUUAGCAUGAAUAAAUUAGCCUUAAGGUUAUCUAUAAGCUAGUGCGCUUGAAAUAACGACAAAAUUAGCAUUUAGAAGAUAUAUGCAUUAAAAAUUGACAGUCUCUCUUUUCCACCACUAUGGAGCAACAAUUUUGAUGACAUCAUUCUGCAAUUCAGCUCCUCAUCAGAUUUUCUGUCCAAUUAAACGCCAUCCAGAAUCUCAAGUGUCCCGCCCCCCAACAUUAUAAAAAUCCAUGGUACUAGCUAAAAGCCCUUGCUGUGAGGUAAGCUGAACACUAUUGGCUAUUUAAAAAAGGGGGAUGAGCCAAUUAAUGUUGGAAAUUACGUCAACAAACAAACAGAUAAAUAUACAUAAGAGCAGUAAAUGGUAAUAAAUCGAUUAAAAACGUCAAUAUUUGGUGUGACAACACUUUUCUUUAAAAAAUAAAAUAAAAUAGUAUUCUCAGGUACAAUUAGUGCAGUUUUAUAAGGAAAUGAGCUGCAAGUUUUAUUGAGCAUCUCGCAGAAUCAGACACGGUUCUUCUGGAGACUUUGACUGUUGCAACCGCUUCUUA